CCUACGGGAGGCUGCAGUGAGGAAUAUUGGUCAAUGGGCUUACGCCUGAACCAGCCAAGUCGCGUGAGGGAAGACUGCCCUAUGGGUUGUAAACCUCUUUUGUCAGGGAGUAACGCCGGCUACGUGUAGCCGGACUGAGAGUAUCUGAAGAAAAAGCAUCGGCUAACUCCGUGCCAGCAGCCGCGGUAAUACGGAGGAUGCGAGCGUUAUCAGGUUGUAUUGGGUUUAAAGGGUGCGUAGUCGGCAUGCCAAGUCAGCGGUAAAAUCGCGGGGCUCAACCUCGCUCCGCCGUUGAUACUGGCGGUCUUGAGUAGGCGAGAGGUAUGCGGAAUGCGUGGUGUAGCGGUGAAAUGCAUAGAUAUCACGCAGAACUCCGAUUGCGAAGGCAGCAUACCGGCGCCCAACUGACGCUGAAGCACGAAAGCGUGGGUAUCGAACAGGAUUAGAUACCCGUGUAGUC
rnacentral:rRNA from 1 species